UGGGGAAUAUUGGACAAUGGGGGCAACCCUGAUCCAGCGAUGCCGCGUGUGUGAAGAAGGCCUUAGGGUUGUAAAGCACUUUAGGUGGGGAAGAAGGGUGUUAGGUGAAUAGCCUAAUGCUUUGACGGUACCCGCAGAAUAAGCACCGGCUAACUCUGUGCCAGCAGCCGCGGUAAUACAGAGGGUGCAAGCGUUAAUCGGAGUUACUGGGCGUAAAGGGCGCGUAGGCGGUUAUACAAGUGAGAUGUGAAAUCCCUGGGCUUAACCUAGGAAGGUCAUCUUAGACUGUGUAACUGGAGUGCAGUAGAGGAUAGUGGAAUUUCCGGUGUAGCGGUGAAAUGCGUAGAGAUCGGAAGGAACAUCAGUGGCGAAGGCGGCUAUCUGGACUGACACUGACGCUGAGGCGCGAAAGCGUGGGGAGCAAACAGG
rnacentral:rRNA from 1 species